AGUGAACGCUGGCGGUAGGCCUAACACAUGCAAGUCGAACGGCAGCACAGUAAGAGCUUGCUCUUACGGGUGGCGAGUGGCGGACGGGUGAGGAAUACAUCGGAAUCUACUUUUUCGUGGGGGAUAACGUAGGGAAACUUACGCUAAUACCGCAUACGACCUACGGGUGAAAGCAGGGGAUCUUCGGACCUUGCGCGAUUGAAUGAGCCGAUGUCGGAUUAGCUAGUUGGCGGGGUAAAGGCCCACCAAGGCGACGAUCCGUAGCUGGUCUGAGAGGAUGAUCAGCCACACUGGAACUGAGACACGGUCCAGACUCCUACGGGAGGCAGCAGUCGGGAAUAUUGGACAAUGGGCGCAAGCCUGAUCCAGCCAUACCGCGUGUGUGAAGAAGGCCUUCGGGUUGUAAAGCCCUUUUGUUGGGAAAGGAAAGCAGCGGGUUAAUACCCCGCUGUUCUGACGGUACCCAAAGAAUAAGCACCGGCUAACUUCGUG
rnacentral:rRNA from 1 species